rnacentral:tRNA from 1 species
GGAGGGUUGCGCCGAAUGGUAAGGCAGCGGCUUGCUAAGCCGUGACGGUUAAAACCCGUCUGUGGGUUCAAGUCCCACACCCUCCG